AUGAGUUGGAGGCUGGGACAGGGGUCCCUGCCAGGGAUGCUGGUGACUCACAUGACAGUGUUGAUGUGUGGAGUCUGGUGCCUGGUUUGGGGAAUGUUCGUGGGAUAUGUUACAGAGCACUGAUGGACCUAUCAGAGGCAGGUUUGGGCUGGAGACUCGGGCUUGGGAGGCAUCCCAAGUAGACAGUGGUUGAGGCUGUGGAAAUGACUGCGAUCGCCUGGGAUGAGAGUGGAGACAGACAAGAUGGGGGUUUUGCUCUAAGCCUGGGGAACCCACCUCCCAGGU
rnacentral:lncRNA from 1 species